UACGGGGGGGGGCAAGCGUUGUUCGGAAUUACUGGGCGUAAAGGGCUCGUAGGCGGCCAACUAAGUCAUACGUGAAAUCCCCCGGCUUAACCGGGGAACUGCGUCUGAUACUGGAUGGCUUGAGUUCGGGAGAGGGAUGCGGAAUUCCAGGUGUAGCGGUGAAAUGCGUAGAUAUCUGGAGGAACACCGGUGGCGAAGGCGGCAUCCUGGACCGAUACUGACACUCAACUACGAAAGCGUGGGGAGCAAACAGG
rnacentral:rRNA from 1 species